rnacentral:rRNA from 1 species
CCUACGGGUGGCAGCAGUGAGGAAUAUUGGUCAAUGGCCGGAAGGCUGAACCAGCCAUGCCGCGUGAAGGUCGGUGCCCUUUUGGCUUUAAACCUCUUUUGUGCGGGAGCAAUAAUGGUCACGUUUGGCCAGACGAGAGUACCGUACGAAUAAGCAUCGGCUAACUCCGUGCCAGCAGCCGCGGUAAUACGGGGGAUGCAAGCGUUAUCCGGAUUUGUUGGGUUUAAAGGGGGCGUAGGCUGUGAGGUAAGUCAGCGGUGGAAUGCCGCCGGUCAACGGGGAGAAGUGCCAUUGAUACUGGCUUGCUGGAGUGCGGAAGAGGUGGGCGGAAUGUGUGGUGUAGCGGUGAAAUGCAUAGAUAUCACGCAGAACACCGAUUGCGAAGGCAGCUUACGGGUCCGCGAUUGACGCUGAUGCACGAAAGCGUGGGUAUCAAACAGGAUUAGAUACCCUUGUAGUC